AGCGAACGCUGGCGGCAGGCCUAACACAUGCAAGUCGAACGAAGUCUUCGGACUUAGUGGCGGACGGGUGAGUAACACGUGGGAACGUGCCUUUAGGUUCGGAAUAACUCAGGGAAACUUGUGCUAAUACCGAAUGUGCCCUUCGGGGGAAAGAUUUAUCGCCUUUAGAGCGGCCCGCGUCUGAUUAGCUAGUUGGUGAGGUAAAGGCUCACCAAGGCUACGAUCAGUAGCUGGUCUGAGAGGAUGACCAGCCACAUUGGGACUGAGACACGGCCCAAACUCCUACGGGAGGCAGCAGUGGGGAAUUUUGCGCAAUGGGCGAAAGCCUGACGCAGCCAUGCCGCGUGAAUGAUGAAGGUCUUAGGAUUGUAAGAUUCUUUCACCGGGGACGAUAAUGACGGUACCCGGAGAAGAAGCCCCGGCUAACUUCGUGCCAGCCGCCGCCGUAACAC
rnacentral:rRNA from 1 species